GGUGAACGCUGGCGGCGUGCCUAACACAUGCAAGUCGAGCGGACGGAGGAUGAGCUCUCUUCUGUGCUGCUGGGGCCGGGUGGGUAAGUGACACGUGGAUACCCGGCCUAUAAGAAUGGGGUACCUUCAGGAAACCUGAGACAAUACAGGACCAGAUUUUGAAAGGCAUGGAUCUAAAGUGCAAGACUUUCUAGAUGUCACUAGUUCAGGGUAGCGCGGUGGAUGAGCUAGUUGGUAAGGUAACGGCGUACCAAGGCUACGAUGAGUAGCCGACCUGAGAGGGUGAUCAGCCACACUGGAACUGAGACACGGUCCAGACUCCUACGGGAGGCAGCAGUGGGGAAUCUUGCACAAUGGGCGAAAGCCUGACGGAGCAACGCCGCGUGAGUGAUGAAGGUCUUCGGAUUGUAAAGCUCUGUUAGUAGGGAGGAAGGUAAGUGAGUGCAUCUCUUCACAUCUUGACGUUACCUAAACAGUAAGCCCCGGCUAACUACGUG
rnacentral:rRNA from 1 species